rnacentral:rRNA from 1 species
GAUGAACGCUGGCGGCGUGCCUAAUACAUGCAAGUCGAGCGAACGGACGAGACGCUUGCUUCUCUGCUGUUAGCGGCGGACGGGUGAGUAACACGUGGAUAACCUACCUAUAAGACUGGGAUAACUUCGGGAAACCGGAGCUAAUACCGGAUAAUAUUUUGAACCGCAUGGUUCAACAGUGAAAGACGGUCUUGCUGUCACUUAUAGAUGGAUCCGCGCUGCAUUAGCUAGUUGGUAAGGUAACGGCUUACCAAGGCAACGAUGCAUAGCCGACCUGAGAGGAUGAUCGGCCACACUGGAACUGAGACACGGUCCAGACUCCUACGGGAGGCAGCAGUGGGGAAUCUUCCGCAAUGGGCGAAAGCCUGACGGAGCAACGCCGCGUGAGUGAUGAAGGUCUUCGGAUCGUAAAACUCUGUUAUUAGGGAAGAACAUAUGUGUAAGUAACUGUGCACAUCUUGACGGUACCUAAUCAGAAAGCCACGGCUAACUACGUG